CGAACGCUGGCGGCGUGCUUAACACAUGCAAGUCGAACGCGAAAGGGACUUCGGUCCUGAGUAAAGUGGCGCACGGGCGAGUAACGCGUAGAUAACCUGUCUUCAUGUCUGGAAUAAUACGCCGAAAGGGGUACUAAUACCGGAUAUUCUUGCUUUUCAUAAGUUAUGCAAGCAAAGGUGGCCUCUGCAUAUGCUACUGCAUGAAGAGGGGUCUGCGUACCAUUAGCUAGUAGGUGGGGUAAUGGCCUACCUAGGCGACGAUGGUUAGCGGGUCUGAGAGGAUGAUCCGCCACACUGGCACUGGAACACGGGCCAGACUCCUACGGGAGGCAGCAGUGAGGAAUAUUGCGCAAUGGGGGAAACCCUGACGCAGCGACGCCGCGUGAGUGAGGAAAGGCCUUCGGGUCGUAAAGCUCUGUCAAGAGGAAAGAAGUGUACAAUGGCUAAUACCUGUUGUAUUUGACGGUACCUCUAAAGGAAGCACCGGCUAACUCCGUGCCAGCAGCAGC
rnacentral:rRNA from 1 species